rnacentral:rRNA from 1 species
AGCGAACGCUGGCGGCAGGCUUAACACAUGCAAGUCGAACGCCCCGCAAGGGGAGUGGCAGACGGGUGAGUAACACGUGGGAACGUACCCUUUGGUUCGGAAUAACUUGGGGAAACUCAAGCUAAUACCGGAUAAGCCCUUAUGGGGAAAGGUUUACUGCCGGAGGAUCGGCCCGCGUCUGAUUAGCUAGUUGGUGAGGUAACGGCUCACCAAGGCGACGAUCAGUAGCUGGCCUGAGAGGAUGAUCAGCCACACUGGGACUGAGACACGGCCCAGACUCCUCCGGGAGGCAGCAGUGGGGAAUAUUGGACAAUGGGGGCAACCCUGCUCCAGCCAUGCCGCGUGAGUGAUGAAGGCCUUAGGGGUGUAAGGCUCUUUUACCCGGGACGAUAAUGACUGUACCGGGAGAAUAAGCCCCGGCUAACUUCGUGCCAGCAGCCGCCGCGG